rnacentral:rRNA from 1 species
CAGCCGCCACGGUAAAACGGAGGGUGCAAGCGUUAAUCGGAAUUACUGGGCGUAAAGCGUGCGUAGGCGGUUCGUUAAGUCUGUUGUGAAAGCCCCGGGCUCAACCUGGGAAUGGCAAUGGAUACUGGCGAGCUAGAGUGUGUCAGAGGAUGGUGGAAUUCCCGGUGUAGCGGUGAAAUGCGUAGAGAUCGGGAGGAACAUCAGUGGCGAAGGCGGCCAUCUGGGACAACACUGACGCUGAGGCACGAAAGCGUGGGGAGCAAACAGGAUUAGAUACCCCAGUAGUCCCUGUCUCUUAUAC